rnacentral:rRNA from 1 species
AACAAACGCUGGCGGCGUGCCUAAUACAUGCAAGUCGAACGGGGAAAGCUUUCGGGUGAGUACUAGUGGCGCACGGGUGAGUAACGCGUGGAUAAUCUGCCUUAGAGUGGGGGAUAACUAGUCGAAAGAUUAGCUAAUACCGCAUAAGACCACAAGAACUGCGGCUCAAGAGGUCAAAGGUUUUUCGCUCUAAGAUGAGUCCGCGUAAGAUUAGCUAGUUGGUGAGGUAACGGCUCACCAAGGCAACGAUCUUUAACUGGUCUGAGAGGAUGAUCAGUCACACUGGAACUGAGACACGGUCCAGACUCCUACGGGAGGCAGCAGUAGGGAAUAUUGCACAAUGGAGGAAACUCUGAUGCAGCGACGCCGCGUGAGUGAUGAAGGCCUUCGGGUCGUAAAGCUCUGUCGCAGGGGAAUAACACAAUGAAUGUACCCUGUAAGAAAGGACCGGCUAACUUCGUGCCAGCCGCCGCGGUAACAC